UUACUACCCUUGUGGGAAGAUGCGGGAGAGGUGACCUCCAGUCCAAAGCAGCUGGGGGCCAGAAGGCCAAGGAGCCCCUGGCCCAACAGUCUGGUGCCAAAUGUAGGAACUUCUCUGAUCCAGGAAUGUUCUUGGCCACCCCUCCCUGGCCAAAAACAGAAAAUCAACUCCUUCUGACCUGGGUCCUGAGCAGUCAGCAGUGUGGAAUCAAUUGUCUUUUCAUGAAUCUAUAAUAAGACAGGCACAGUUGAAACAUUUUGUGAUGUCACGUCUUCGUUCCGGGACUUGGUGCAUCUUUUGCUCCUAAUGAUCCUGGCUUGUUCUUCCUCCCACUGCUGCGAAUUAGUCUGCGGCUCCACUGUGCAGCCUGAGAGCUCUGUAGGUCAGAAGCCUGACAGGGGUCUCACUGGGCUAAAAUCAAGACGUUGGCAGGCCCGCAUUGCCUUCUGGGAGCUUCAGAGGACAGUCCCCUUCCUUGCCUUUUCCAGCUUCUGGAGGCACCCACAUUCCUUGAUUCGUGGUCCUCGUCCUUCAUCUUCAAAGCCAUCAAUGGCUGGUUGAGUCUUCCUCACAGCAUAUCCCCCUGAAACUGGCUUUCCUGCUCCCUCUUCUUGGAAGAACCUUGUGGGUCCACCCGGAUAAACAGGUUCCAGGGAUUGGAAAAUCUGUGCAGCUUUGAGGUGUUGCUCUGGAUCCAAGCAAUGAGAGGGUACGGCAGCUUUACCAAGGGCAAGAAUCGCUGUGUUGAAAACUUAAUGAAAUCUCGAAGACAAAAUGUUGAGCAAAAGAAACCAGACACCAAGGAGAAGCCCCUGGCCAGCCUGAGAGCUGGGAGGAUGUGGACGGGAUUCUGAAAGUGCCUCUCCAUUUGCUUCUUGGGAGCUGGAAAAAAAAAAGCGCAGUCAAUGCAGCGGCUGUCAAGUGCAAGCCCAUGGCUGGGUGUGGGCCGUGUGCACCUCGACCGGCCAGGAGGCUGAGUGGAGGGUGACGGACAAGUCCCACGCCCACCCUGGGCGCCGGCCUGGCCCCCGCAGCACCUGAGCAGGGCCAGAGCAUCACAGAGCCUCUCUGAAGAGCAGAGGCCCAGGCAGAAGGAAACAGAAGGUUCUUAGAAGGAAGGCAAGCCUUCCUGUCCUCUGAGGCUGCUGCUCCCAGCAGGCCUUCCCCACUCCCGG